CCUACGGGAGGCUGCAGUGGGGAAUAUUGGACAAUGGGGGGAACCCUGAUCCAGCCAUGCCGCGUGUGUGAAGAAGGCCCUCGGGUUGUAAAGCACUUUCAGUGAGGAAGAACGCCUGGUGGUUAAUACCCAUCAGGAAAGACAUCACUCACAGAAGAAGCACCGGCUAACUCCGUGCCAGCAGCCGCGGUAAUACGGAGGGUGCGAGCGUUAAUCGGAAUUACUGGGCGUAGAGCGCGCGUAGGUGGCUUGAUAAGCCGGUUGUGAAAGCCCCGGGCUCAACCUGGGAACGGCAUCCGGAACUGUCAAGCUAGAGUGCAGGAGAGGAAGGUAGAAUUCCCGGUGUAGCGGUGAAAUGCGUAGAGAUCGGGAGGAAUACCAGUGGCGAAGGCGGCCUUCUGGACUGACACUGACACUGAGGUGCGAAAGCGUGGGUAGCAAACAGGAUUAGAUACCCUAGUAGUC
rnacentral:rRNA from 1 species